AGGUUCUCUGCAGGGACUCCUUAAGCAUACAGAAAAUGCACCUCUCAUUCUACUGUGGCAUGCUGCCCUUCUAGAAAAAUGUUUUUCUUCUGUUCAGACACUGGCAAAACUGUAAAUUAAAGUUAAAAUACUUCCAGUAAAACAUUUAAUUACAAAUGCAGCUAGCAUAUCUGUGAUUAUUAUCUAUUAAGUGAAAUGUUAUAGAUGGUGCAUUUCUUAAUCCUCAACUAAUAAAUAAUCAUGGAUUUAUAUGGAGCAUCAAAAUAAAAUAUUGGCAGUGGAAAAACGGCUCAGCAAUUAACAGCAGCUACUACUCUUACAGAGAACCCAUGUUUGGUUGCCAGCACAUGGGCUCCUCACCCACAUCAGGAAGCUCACCUAUAAGUCCCAUUCCAAAGGAUCCAACAUCUCUAGUGUCUGUGGCACUCAUGUGUAUAUACUCACACACAGACACAUGGUUAAAAAAGAUAAAUCUUAAAAAAUGAAAUGUUAUUAGAAUUUCUUCCCUGCCUCCAUCAACUCCAUUUGGGGGAGCAGUAGGAUUAAAGAAUCAGUAAAGUCAGGACAAGAACCUCAGUUAUACACAACUACAAAAGGUCAGAAACUGCUCAGGAUUGGAAUCUCAGUGUCUGCUCUCACUACUCAGCUUUCACCUUGAGCCCUGUUACUUUGAACUCUACUGAAUUUUUUAGUGUUAAUUUAAUGAUUGCUACCUGUCUAGCCAUAGACAAACCCAUCGGUGUGGGAGUGGGAUCUGGCAAUUUCUCCCUUUUUUUUUUUUUGUUCUUUUUUUUUUUUUUUCGGAGCUGGGGACCGAACCCAGGGCCUUGCGCUUCCUAGGCAAGCGCUCUACCACUGAGCUAAAUCCCCAACAAUUUCUCCCUUUAUUAAGUGAAGGGUGAGUCUGGGUCAGUAUUCCUCACAUUGGAGAAGUUAGGGCCCAAGAACACAUUAGAACACAUAUGACACUUACAUUUUGGUACUGGAAAAGGUUACUGGCAUUAAUGUUCUUACUGGUUAUGUGACUGGAGCAUCUGAAUAGAAGCUCCUUUUACCACAUGCAUUGAAACUACACCUGUAUACACACAUUCUUGUUUAGCUUGUCACUGAGCUGAUCAUCGAUGCUUUGAGUAUUUGUAAUAUGCAUGCUACGCAUUAAAUUUAAAGCUAAAAAUUUAAAGCUAAAAAUUAGCACUUACAGGGGGAAACUGUGCAUCUACUUACUAUUACUUCCUCAGCUUGUCGAACCAGAUUAGCAGUUUUUGCCUCCAAUUCUGCAUUUAAACGCCUUAAAGCAGAAAAUAAUGUGAUAGUUGGGUUAUACUCAAAUUAUAACAAAAACAAACAUAAUUACAUUUGGAUAAUUACAUUAUAAUCAAUUCAUGCCAAAGCACACACAACAUUUUUAGUCUGAAAUGAACCCAGCUACUAGAAUGCCCCACCACCUCCUACCUCUGAUAGGACCACAAGCACUGCCUGCCUGCCCAUGGCCCUUUAGGAUCUUCCAUGAAGUAAAGCACUGCCUGCCUGCCCAUGGCCCUUUAGGAUCUUCCAUGAAGUAAAGCACUGCCUGCCUGCCCAUGGCCCUUUAGGAUCUUCCAUGAAGUAAGUCGUCAGACACCAGGCAGACUGAGUGAGUUCAACUAAGCUCCAGGACCAACCAUUAGAGAACACAAGUUCCAACCAUGUGUCUUUACAGACAGGUGGGUCCUGCUCUCCUGAUGACUAGAGUGGCCGGAGUCAGGGCAGCCUGCAUGGGCUGGGGUGCUGAUAUCUUUGGGGAGCCAGCUCGCAACUCAUCUCCACACUUCAAUACCAUCAUCAGAAAUUGGGGACUAAUUUGGCCUCCAUUUGCAAUCUAGCAAAAAUCACAACAACUACUUGAUCCAAUUAAACCUGAAAGAAUGAUUAUAGGGAAAUGUUUUAAUGGGGAAAAGUUAACUAUUAUCAUUUAACCUUUUUAUUUUCAAUCUUCCCUCCUAUAGCACACACACAAGUCUGUAUUCACCCAAAGACAGGGAAGAAAUAUAUUUAUCUCCACAUGGUCAGUCAACAUCUUAACUGGCUUCACAACAGUCUGGGGAGCACAUUUAGCCUGGUGCACUAAAUUCUAUCCCUGUCUAUUUCCCUUUUAAAGAUUCACACUAUGAUAUAUAUCUUUUUCUCCUAUUGAAGGGUCCCAUUUCCAACUAUGGCCGAAGUUCUAUCAAGGAGUUCUGGAGAAGACUCACUGGAGCAUGAUUCUAAAGUAACAAAAUGAUCUAAUUCCUAACCUAAGGAGGAGGGGUGGGGGAGGGGAAGGACAGGCAGCACCAUAGCCUUCCUUAAAACAGUCGUACCUUUAAGAAAUACAUUCAUGUUUUAGGAUUACUUGGCUAAAAGAGAAGAAUCUAAGAAAUAGACUUAUAUUUAAAAAUGACUUUUAACUUUUUCUUAGAAUAAUCAGGACUUAAAUUGAAACUUAAGAGUCAAUGCAGGUCAACCAAGAGGAUUAAGAGUAUUUUUCUACUCUAAAUUCAUUAAAAUGAGAGAUAAAAUGUAAAGAUAGAAAUAACAGCUAAGCUUGGGCUAAGGGGAAAUGGCCUCACACUAAGAAUGACUCCAAAUUCUAAGUGAGAGCCACACAGAGGAAUAGAAGAACUGGGUGUGCUCAUGAGUCCUGAGCUUCAAAACACAGGCCACAAAGACCCCUCCCACAACCUCAGGUGAGGCUAGUGAUGAGGUGGAAGGACCACCCUGUAAUUCACACAUGGAGUAAGAGAGGUCCAGAUUCACUUUGUCUAGAUGAUUCGCAGACAUGAGGCCAAGCUUCACACAACUUUAGUGUAGAAGAAGGUUAAGUUAGUACAGAGAAGCUCAAAGCCAAGCCACAAGGACAUUUUCUCGUCUAGAAUAUAAGGGCUCUGAAAACUAACUCUGCUGAAGAUGACUUUAAAAAAAUAACAAGUCACCAAGGGAGAAUAGUCCAGCACAAGAAGGGAGAAGGGGGUUUACACUAUAAAAACCAGAGCGAAACGUAAUGAAACAUUUUGUUCAGAAUUCUAAUUUGAAAAAGGGGGAAAGAGCAAGAACAGAGACUGUGAGGGUGUGAGAGUUAACUUCCCCACGAGUGGUUCCCAGCUAGCGGUGCAGUGCUGUUUGGGGAGGCUAGGAUACCAGGGGAGGUGUUUUAGACUUUCAGUCCAGCCUCACUUCCUGCCUGAGCUCUGUAUUUCUUGAUCUACUGAGGUGCCCUGCCUGCCAGAAACUCCUCUGCCAUACACAUUAUAACCUGAAUUAAAUUGUGGAGAAAAGUUCUGAUAUAUGAUUUUUAAAAAUUACAUUUAGUUAAAUUAGGGAUCAAGGCAAACAAUGUUUUAGAGCCUGUUUUAAAAGGGGUCUACCCAGUCCCUGGAGCAAACCUCAAAUAAAAUGACGAAUUACCAAAAGUGAGCUCCUCAAAAUGACAGCUGCUUGUGGUUACUGUUUGUAUUUCACUUUGCGUUGUCAUAAACAGGGAAAGGGGAUGCGCAGAGAACAAAAAUGGGGGGAAAAAAAACUAUCACACUUAGCAGAUGGCUGUCUGUCUCCACCAGAAUGCACAGGCCUCUACAGCAUGAAUCACAGUGGAGCAGCGCUGAAGGGCUUCCCACUACUUAAAAUCUUCUUGUUGUUGUACUUGAAACAUCUUAGUUUAAAUGCUUUAAGUUUAAAAAAAUUAAAAUACACUUUAAAAAAAAUAAGGGUACAAUCAAACGGCAAAUAUAAUGGCAGACAUAAUCUCUGCCCUGGUGGAGUUCAGAGUCCAGUGGAGGAGGCAGAAUAUAGGAAAGUAAACUAUGGCUGGGCAUGAUGGUGCAAGCCUUUAAUCCCAACACUCUAGAGGCAGAUGGUUCUCUGUGAGUUCAGUGCCUAAGUCUACAUAGUGAGGUCCAGGACAGCCAGGGCUGGAUAGAGCGUCCCUGUCUUUGGGGGGAAGGGGGGAGCCAUCAGUGAGAUUAUUUUAAGAAAAUAUGUUAAUUGCAAAAACUUAUUAAACAAAUGGGGCCCUGAUCAGCAUGAGUAAAGGACCCUCUGAGUUUUACAGUCCAAAGGCAAGUGCGAUUUCUCUCAAGAAGAGAGAAGGGAGAAAAGAAGGGCCCAUGUCCCUUGUGACUGGAGAGUUCCACACUCUAUGUGUAAGAAAGGAAGAGCAGAAAGUUAAAUGAAAAAGCCGGAGUUGCCAAAACUUUGCAAGUGCAAUAACGACAACUACACGCAGUUCUAAGCAGUGCAAUGGCGAGAUGAAAUGAAAAUGAGAAGGUUGCUCUGGCCUCUGCAGGAAACUCAGGAAGGGUGCUAGACAAUGUGAAGCCUGUGUUUCCAAGAGCUUUGUAAUUGCCAGAGGACAAGACAAGGAAAGGAUAUCAUCCUUCUUCCCUCCCUCUGUAGACAGGCCUUUUCAUUUGGAAAACAAGCCUCCAAGAAAUUUGCGCAAAGUAAACUCUAGAACUUUGAGAAUCCUCAAAAUCUACUCUGGGGCUUUCUCUCUCCCCAACACGGUUUUGAACUACAUUUUGCCACCAAAAAUAUUUUCUCAGAGUACUCCGGUGAAAGAACCGAGGCUAAAGAAAAAUGGGGAGAGAGGAGGUCCCUAUAAGCAGCCACCCUGCAGGAAAGGCACCUCAGUAACCUCCCUGGAAAUAUGAGGGAUGCUCACUUGUAUUCUUGCUCCCGAGCGAGAAGGUCCCGUCCAGCUGCAAGCUGUCCGCGCGACUGAGGACCUGCAGCACCACGUCUCUGCAGACAGAGUUGCAGAGCUCAAGUUCAAGAGAGUCAGGUGGCCGUCCCUUCCGCCCUUCCGCCCUUCCGCCCUUCCGCCCUUCCGCCCUUCCGCCCGUCCGCCAGCCCGCAGCCCAACCACCGGUCAGGAGUCUGGGUCGAACUCACCGGCACUCCAACACUUCGACCGGCCAUCUUUACCUGCCCUGGAGCGAUGCGGUUGCCAUGGUCCCAUGACAGAACACCCGUAAGGACACAGAGACCCUAAACAGCGGGAGCAACCGGCUCUUAAGUCUAUCAACAUUUAUAGAAAACGCAUCUGAAAAUCACCAGACCAUUCCUUCGUCACAAAGCCACUGGGAUGAGGAUCUGUGGCUGCACCUUAACUAUGGAUGCUACAAGUGCAUGAAGGGAAAGAAGCUGGCAGUAUCUCCACCAGCCACUCUGCUUAUUACUGUAGGAUCUGCUAUUCACCAAGCCCCAUGUUUCUUCUACUCUCUCGGUAGCCUGAAGCCUGUAUUGUGGCACAGAUGUCCUAGUUUGUUUUUCUGAGGUUUGAUGCCAUCUCCUAAGAGCAUCUGCGCCUUUGCUGGCACCUUUUGACCGCAGAUCUGUUACCUAUUAGUUACUCCCAUCUCUGGCUUUUCUGUGAUGCCCUAAGUGUACAGGGAAAUGUAUUCCAGUGUUAAGUCCCGAUUUAACUUUUCCUACCCAGGAUCUUCAAUUAAACUCUUUCAGAACAUCAUGAAACAUCAUUUAUGAAUGACAACUUAUGAUCUUGCCAUUUUUAUUUCCAAACAUUUUAAAAGAAACUGUGUAUCUCCAACACAGAAAGAAAAUUCAGGCCCACCUCCUGUGAUAUUUCUGACAAGAUUGAAAACAAGAUAACUUUCAUCAACAUUAGUAGCGAGGGUAUUUGGUCUUGAGUCAUUUGCCUUUCAAAACAAAUUGGGUAGUCUCUUCAGUUGUCCUUUUUUUUUUUUUUUUUUUUUUUUUGGUUCUUUUUUUCGGAGCUGGGGACCGAACCCAGGGCCUUGCGCUUCCUAGGUAAGCGCUCUACCACUGAGCUAAAUCUCCAGCCUCAGUUGUCCUUUUUAUUAAAAAAAUUAUUUAUCUAUUGUAUAAGUGUUUCGCUGCUUGUAUACCCUCAUGCCAGAAGAGGGCAUCAGAUCCCAUUACAGAUGGUUGUGAGCCACCAUGUGCUUGCUGGGAAUUUCACUCUGGACCUCUGGAAGACCAGACAGUGUUCUUAACCACUCUCCAGCCCACUCAGUUUUCAUUUUUAAAAAGUAUCCUUUCACGGUGGCACGAGACACUGGCUACAGAUCUGUGAUUUCUACUCACUCUCCCAUCUCCAGCACUGACUAGGAAUCACUGACAACGUUAAUAACAUUUUUAGACUGAAAAAUGGAGCUAACGAGUUUUAGAAUUCCACUUGCAUCCCUGCCAUAUCAAUACCUACCUACUGAUAAGCUUGUCUACUUAGAGUCCAGUGGGAGCUCUUUAACAGUUUUACCACUAAUUAGGCAAAACCUUCCUAAAAUAGUUAGAAAGAACAGGCCCUUAUCUCCUACAUUUUGGGAACUUUUAAAGACCUUAAUAUGAAUGGUUGAUUUCAGUCUUCUUUUGGAACCUCAGGAGAAAUACUGCCUCGGAGUUUCUAUGAGUACUCCGUGAAGUUUACCAACUUGUUAUAGAUGCCUUCGCUCCCGUUGGCACUUGUCAUUUGGAGGAAUUGCUGCUGUACAUCUCUAUACACUCUUACAAUUUUUUGAUAUGGGGUAUUAGUCACCUCUGCAUUUCUGUGACCUAAACACGUGAUAGAAAUGACUUAAGAACUGAAGGAGGAUGUAGUUCAAUGGUAGAGCAUUUGGCCAGCAUGGGUGUUGGGGGAGAUACACUUAUGGGAAGAAAGCAUUAUCUUGGCUCACAGAUUCAGAGGGUUUCAGCCUACCAUAGCAGGGGACAUGUAGCAGAAUGGCUUCGUCCAUGGAGCAUGUGGUAACUUAUUGCAUGGCAGUGGACCAGAAAGCAGUCUGAAGCCAGAAGCAGAGCUCUAUCCCAGACCCGCUCCUAGUGACCGAAUUCUACCAGGUAAGCCCAUCUCCUAAAUGGUGCCACCAGCUGAGGAACAAGCGUUCAAACAAAACCUUGGGGCUGGCAAAAUGGUUUAGUACAUGAAAUACUUGCCACAAAAGCCUGUUGAGUCCCUAGAAGCAGUGUAGAGGUAGAGGAGAAUGCGCUCCACCAAGUUGGCCCCUGAUCCCUGCACAGGUUAUACAGUUCACACAAUCCCCUUUUUAAUAAAAAUAAAUAAACAAUAAAACCAUGAGCUGUAGGGGAUAUGUUAGAGUCAACCAAUAACAGAUGGUAACUCUAAAUCUCUAUGUUUUCUCCUUGGUGUACGUAAGUGUGCCCCUUGCCAUCUAGUGUUGGGCUAUCUUGUUAUCUGUUGAUUGUGUUUGAAUGUCCGUCCAUGCUCUGAUCAAGGACUCUCUAGAAGCAGCUACUUGGGAGCAGUGUGGUAUCUGUAUUUCAUUGGAUUUUAAGCAAUGACACAAUAAAUAGGCUGUUGUCAUUUUUUCUUUCUU